rnacentral:rRNA from 1 species
GCCGCAGUAUUCUGACUGUGCUAAGGUAGCAUAAUAAUUUGUAAUUUAAUUGGUUACUAGAAUGAAUGGUCUGACGAAAAAUAACCUUUCUUAUAUAAAAUCUAAAUUUAUAUUUUAGUAAAAAAGCUAAUAUUUAUUAAAAUGACGAUAAGACCCUAAAACCUUAAAUAAUAUUUUUACUGGGGCGGUAAAUUAUUCAACGUAAUUUUUUAAAACAUAGUGAAUGAAUUUCACUUCCUAUUUUUAAAUUCAAAAAGGUACUUUAGGGAUAACAGUAUAAUUCUUGUAGAGAGCAUCUUAUCGACACAAGGGAUUAUAACCUCGAUGUUGAAUUGAUAUAACAUUACUAAGCAGCCCUAGUAAAUGUAAGUCUGUUCGACUUUUUAAAUAUCACGUGAUCUGAGUUCAGACCGG